CGUGGGUGAGGAAGGCCGUCGGGUUGUAAAGCCUUUAGUUGGAAGAAUAAAAUGACGGUACCAACAGAAGAAGCACCGGCUAACUCCGUGCCAGCAGCCGCGGUAAUACGGAGGGUGCAAGCGUUAUUCGGAUUUAUUGGGCGUAAAGCGCACGUAGGCGGUUUCGUAAGUCUGAUGUGAAAGCCCGUGACUCAAUCACGGAAGUGCAUUGGAUACUGCGAGACUAGAGUACUGGAGGGGAGAACGGAAUUCCUGGUGUAGAGGUGAAAUUCGUAGAUAUCAGGAGGAACAACGGUGGCGAAGGCGGUUCUCUGGACAGUAACUGACGCUCAGGUGCGAAAGCGUGGGUAGCAAACAGGAUUAGAUACCCUGGUAGUCCACGCCGUAAACGAUGGGUACUAGAUGUCGGGAGCUCUUGCACUCCCGGUGUCGCAGCAAACGCGUUAAGUACCCCGCCUGGGGAUUACGACCGCAAGGUUA
rnacentral:rRNA from 1 species